CUGCAUUUGGUUUUUCAUCUCAUACUUAGUCACUUUCUAUCAGUUACCAAUUCCUAUUGAUGGUUUUUAAAGGGUAAACCUCACAUCUGUUCCUUCUUUUUUCAUUCAUUCCACUGUUGACCAUCUAAGAACAUGAACCAAUGUUUCUCCUUAUGUCUGUGAUCAUUUUGCUCCCUGGGGCAUAGGGAGGUGCUUCCUUCAUGAGAUGAACUGUCUAAACAUUUUAGCCUAGCAUGUUCAGCAUGACCAGAACAGACACCACAUGAUCAGAUCCAGAAUUACCUUUCCAGCCCUAAUCUGUACAGGUAUGUUACAUAUACUUUAUUUCCUGAUUCCUCUGGAUUAGUUGUCCCCCUCUCCAGACUCUGCUGCUUUACUCGAGCCUGGAGAGUCUUAUGUACCCUUGAUAUCCAGCUCAAAUAUUUCCUCAUCCAUAAGUCCUCAGUGACUGCCAUCCAGAGUAAGCACAUCCUUCCUCCCGAGUAGCUGGGACUAUAGGUGUGCACCAACAUGUCCAUUAAUUUUUGUAUUUU
rnacentral:lncRNA from 10 species